GAUACCCUUCCUACAAAAAUAACAACUUUCAAGAAGAAACCCCCCAGGGAUCUG
rnacentral:other from 1 species